UACGGGGGGGGCAAGCGUUGUUCGGAAUUACUGGGCGUAAAGGGCUCGUAGGCGGCCAACUAAGUCAGACGUGAAAUCCCUCGGCUUAACCGGGGAACUGCGUCUGAUACUGGAUGGCUUGAGUUUGGGAGAGGGAUGCGGAAUUCCAGGUGUAGCGGUGAAAUGCGUAGAUAUCUGGAGGAAUACCGGUGGCGAAGGCGGCAUCCUGGACCGACAUUGACGCUGAACGGCGAAAGCUAGGGGAGCAAACGGG
rnacentral:rRNA from 1 species